rnacentral:lncRNA from 1 species
UAUUUGAUCAGUUAAAAUGAAUGUAAUGAAGAAUCCCCGUGAACUUAAUUUAGUUGGUAGAGACGGAUAUUACAUUUUAUCUGUAGGAGUUGGAGUUCGAACCUCGUAUACUCCACUUCUCUAUAAUUAAAUUGUAUGAGCUCUAGCCACUAGACUAUAUGAUAAAAAAAAAUGAAUGUAACGAACAAUUGGUAUUGAAGAUUUUUUGUCAUAUACCAUAUUUAGUAUUUUGAAGUUGGUUUUGAAGUUGUUUGUAGUUUGUUAUUAGUCUCACAAUGCUCAGUUUCUUGACUGUUGAGUAUAUAAAUAUGUUUGAGUAUCCACAUCAUUUGAGCUAUCUCUGAGGAUAUGAGAUUCAAACCUAUUUAACAUGGUAUCAGAGUCGGGUUAAAGAUUGCAAUGUGCAAAUUGGACUCAGAUCCACGCUAGACGUGUGAGUGAGUGUUGAAGUUGGUUUUAAAAUUAUUUGUAGUUUGUUAUUAGUUUCACAUUCCUCAUGUUUCCAUGAUGUUGAGUGUAUAAAUAUGUUUGAGUACCCAUACUCUUUGAGUUAGCUUUUAUGAUAGGAUCCAAACCAAUUUAACAUAGCAAACAAAAGAUUACUUUAGUACUUUAGACAAUAUGUAGUCGUAC